GAUGAACGCUGGCGGCGUGCUUAACACAUGCAAGUCGAGCGAGUGAGUUCUUCGGAACGAUCUAGCGGCGGACGGGUGAGUAACACGUGGGCAACCUGCCUCAUAGAGGGGAAUAGCCUCCCGAAAGGGAGAUUAAUACCGCAUAAAUUAUCGAGUGGCAUCACAUGAUAAUCAAAGGAGUAAUUCGCUAUGAGAUGGGCCCGCGGCGCAUUAGCUAGUUGGUGAGGUAACGGCUCACCAAGGCGACGAUGCGUAGCCGACCUGAGAGGGUGAUCGGCCACAUUGGGACUGAGACACGGCCCAGACUCCUACGGGAGGCAGCAGUGGGGAAUAUUGCACAAUGGGGGAAACCCUGAUGCAGCAACGCCGCGUGAGUGAUGAAGGUCUUCGGAUUGUAAAGCUCUGUCUUUGGGGACGAUAAUGACGGUACCCAAGGAGGAAGCUACGGCUAACUACGUGCCAGCCGCCGCCGUAA
rnacentral:rRNA from 1 species